rnacentral:rRNA from 1 species
CGCCUGUUUAUCAAAAACAUGUCUUUUUGAGUUAUUUUUAAAGUCUGACCUGCCCACUGAAGUUAUUUAAAUGGCCGCAGUAUUCUAACUGUGCAAAGGUAGCAUAAUCAUUAGUCUUUUAAUUGAAGGCUGGUAUGAACGGUUGGACGAGGUAUAAGCUGUUUCAUAUAAAUUUAUAAUAGAAUUUUAUAUUUUAGUCAAAAAGCUAAAAUUUAAUUAAAAGACGAGAAGACCCUAUAAAUCUUUAUACUUUACAUUGUUUAAAUUUUUUAGAUUAAUUUUAUUUUUAUAAUUUAAAGUAUUUUGUUGGGGUGAUAUUAAAAUUUAAUGAACUUUUAAUUAUUUAAAAUCAUUAAUUUAUGAGUUAUUGAUCCAUUAGUAGUGAUUAUAAGAUUAAGUUACUUUAGGGAUAACAGCGUAAUUUUUUUGGAGAGUUCAUAUCGAUAAAAAAGUUUGCGACCUCGAUGUUGGAUUAAGAUAUAUUUUUAGGUGUAGCCGCUUAAAUGUGA